CACUUUUAAAGUAUUUUUCAAUCAUCCAAAAUACUCAUAAGAUGUGAAAAAGUCAACAUGUCCAGAAGCAUUAAUUCAAUAGUGUCAAAAUCCAAAAUUACCUCUCCAGGCUGUAACAACAUGCCAAAGUUACCAAAAUAAUAUUUCAUCAAGCUAAAUGUAAAAUCUAUACUUAACCCUUAAGAAAAACACCAACUGAAAAAAAAAAGCCCAUCAUAUUCUUCCAGCAAAGGAUGAUUAUGAUGAAGAGAGAAAAGUAACGCUUAAAAAACACCACCAUAUAAUAAAAAAUUGGGAGUUUUAUUUGACUGCAAGUUAGUAUGAAUAAAUAGGAUGAUGUUAUUGUGGCUACCAAAAAAAUGUAGAUUCCAUUAAUAGAACUGUAAUGUCCUCAGGAGAAAAAUGUUACUCCUUUUUGUAUGAGGCCGACCCUAUCUGCAGGUAUCACACUUGAGUAUCACACUUCAUAAUGGUUAUUGACAGUCAUAUCCAGAGAAAUCUCACAAGAAUAUUAAAGUAUCUAAAAAUCAUGUCAGAAAAAAAAAUCACAAACUGAAGGGUAAAUCUGAGGAGAAUAAAUCCAAGUCUGAGUCCUGGGCAGUCCAACCUGUGACACUGUCCUUCUUCACUCUCUCCUGUGCAAUAGAGAAAAUAGCCCUUCUCCUAAAGUUAAUUUCUCCAGGAACUUUGCCAUCAUCUCAGGGCCCAUACUGUGGCAGCUUCCUCCCCGCCCUCCCUGCCUGUCCCUCUCUGCCACCUCUCCCUCUCUAUUGGAUUCUUCCAAUAAGUACUGGAAUGUGUGCAGUUGUCUGGCUAUUGUUCUUUACUAUCCUCCCCACAGCUGAGUUUCUCAGAUUUGUCUGUACCCACAGUCUCAAUUUCCCGACUCCAGCUCACUCCUCAACCUAUUCGCCAUCAUUUCCCCAUUGCUAUAGCUCAUAGGUGUCUCCUUUCAUCUUACUUGAUGAAAGUUUUGAAAUGUUUCAGUCUUAGCAGUGGUAUGCUGAUAAAUCAGCUGGAAGGCUGGAGGAGACCUAAAACUCUAAAUGUUUGCCAUUCUCUGUGGCAUAAAUACUCCCACCAUUGCCUAUUUCAAACUACCAACAUAACAUCAUGCAGAGUUGGGACGAGAAGAGCAGAAUCGGUUCAUUGAACAGUACAAACCAGCUCCAGCCCACCGCUGAAGGGCUUAUUCUAACACUGUACUCUCC
rnacentral:lncRNA from 1 species